UACGUAGGGUGCAAGCGUUGUCCGGAAUUAUUGGGCGUAAAGGGCUCGUAGGCGGUCCAUCGCGUCGGGAGUGAAAAGCUGGGGCUUAACCCCAGUCCUGCUUUCGAUACGGGUGGACUAGAGGUAGGCAGGGGAGAACGGAAUUCCUGGUGUAGCGGUGAAAUGCGCAGAUAUCAGGAAGAACACCUAUGGCGAAGGCAGCUCUCUGGGACGGUACUGACGCUGAGACGCGAAAGCGUGGGGAGCGAACAGG
rnacentral:rRNA from 1 species